GAAAAUGUAAGCACUUGUGUCUGGGAAAUAUAUGACAAUAUUCCCAAGAAAGUCAUGGACAAAACUAAAAUAUUCCAGGAUAGCUGCAUUGGAACUUUGGAAUACAUUCCCAGCUGAGCUAAGAAGUCUAACAUACUUCAUGCAUUUAAGAAAGGCUCUCAAGGCAUUUUAAAAACAGUAGUACGAACUGGAGGAGAGGUUGAGGAUAUUACCGCCUGAACACUGUCUUGAAGCUUUGGUUGAUCUUGAGCCUCCAGGAACAG